AGCUCUCUUAUCUCGGGUUAUUUUAGCCUGUCGCCAGGUUUACAACAGGCACCCAAAGUGGGAGGGAGUGGGGAGACCUGGGAGGAGCAACUGGAAUCCAGCAAACAAUGGCCAUUCACUUGUUUCAAAGGUAAUUGAGUCAAGAUUCCUGAUGGCAACCACAAUCCCUCCAAAAGCACCAGUUUGUGUGCAACUCAUGGAAGGUCAGGGUUAGCAUCAGGAAUCCCUGCAACUUUUCUCCACAUUCCUAGGGCAGCACACAGAUUUCUACAUCAGGUGGACAUUGCUCAUUGGAAUCCAUGAAAGGAGACAGUAGAAAAGAUCACUACCAGCACUAGAUAAUUGCUUAUGUACCAAUAGUGCAUAGAAAUGAUAGAGAAGCCAGGCAGACUCUUUAUAGAUUUCACCAAAGGGACACCUUCACUGUAGUCUGGAAAUGGGCCCCAGUCUGUCCCACAGAGGAAGAAAGUGCCCAGAACAAGAACUCUCCUAUUCAAUCUAGGACAUCGCCUAUAUAUGUGAAACAUUACACUGGCAGCACCAGGAUAAAGAAGAGCCUCCCCGGGCUGCAGCACUGAGCGCGCUAACUGAGGAUUUCACUGCGCUGGAGCAAAAGAACGCAACGAGUCGCGCGUACCAUAUUCGUGCUCCAGUUUAACAUUCCAGCACCUUUGUCUGUCUUUGUAAUUCCCUAUAACCUCCCCUCACACCAGGUUCAAAGGCACCGCUAUGGGGGCCAAAUGUAUGAGAUGAAUUUAAUAUAAAACCUUUAAGUUUAGUGCAAAUUGUCAGGAUCUGGCCAAUAAAAAGUUAACCAUGUUUUAUUCUCUUCUAUAGCUUAUCUUUCCGAGUGUAUAAUUAAUAUAUGAUUAUGAUCGAUAAACAGCUCCCCAUCCGCUCAGCGCUUCUUCCAGUUUUUCAGCGUUCUGUUGCUUUUUAUUUUAUUGGCAGCGCUCUUGGGUUGCUACAACCUUAUCUAGUUAGACUUUAUUCCUGUUAUUCUGGGUGAUACAGCAGUCAUUAUUUUGGCAGAAAACAUUGUGGGGGUUCCAAAGGUUAGUAAUUAAUAUCCAAAUAAUAUAAUAUCCAAAACGCAGGGCUGUUUUGGCUGCUGCUUUUUGCUACUUACACCGACCCUUUAUCGGCAGUAUAACCUAGUACCGUUACUAACAGUCUGUCUUGUGUUAUGUGUGUGUGGGUAAUAGAU